rnacentral:rRNA from 1 species
GAUGAACGCUAGCGGCAGGCCUAAUACAUGCAAGUCGAACGGUGUCUUCGGACAUAGUGGCGCACGGGUGCGUAACACGUAUGCAACCUACCUUACAUUGGGGGAUAGCCUUUCGAAAGGGAGAUUAAUACCGCAUAAGACAGUAGCUGGGCAUCCAGCAGCUGUUAAAGAUUUAUCGAUGUAAGCUGGGCAUGCGUCCAAUUAGCUAGUUGGUGAGGUAACGGCUCACCAAGGCAAUGAUUGGUAGGGGAACUGAGAGGUCAAUCCCCCACACUGGCACUGAGAUACGGGCCAGACUCCUACGGGAGGCAGCAGUAGGGAAUAUUGGGCAAUGGACGCAAGUCUGACCCAGCCAUGCCGCGUGCAGGAUGAAGGCGUUAUGCGUUGUAAACUGCUUUUAUACAGGAAGAAACGACUCUUGCGAGAGGCAUUGACGGUACCUAAAGAAUAAGGAUCGGCUAACUCCGUGCCAGCCGCCGCGGUAACAC